UCUCACUAGAUAGCAGAGGCUGGCCUGGACCUCUUUCUCCUUCUUAGCUUCCUGAGUGCUGGGCUGACAAGCAUGCAAGCAUGGACGGCUGCUACUGACUAGUUUCACUGUCUUCUCCAUCUAUGGCAUAGUCUUGGCAGCUAAAGUGGGGUGUGCUUGGGUAUGUCUAGCCUGAGCUUCAGGUAAACCCGAAGAAGGAGUAUACUCACGAGGAUGGUGGUGACGAUGUAGGUUCUAUUCUGGACGCUGGAGUUGUCUCCUCCGGCCUGAGCAUCGGUGGCUGCAGGAACAAACUUAUCGUCUUCAUUCCAGUAUCCAAUCUGUUAACGAGAAGAAGGCAAAGGCACAAUCUGAGGGGGAAUCUUGGAGCUGGGUGUGACGGCACACUGAUCCGUGUACAAGAGUCUAGGCUGCUGCAGGCAGAAGCAUCAAGAGAUUUCACUUCCUGGGGAAAAUCCAUUACCCUCCAUUUCCUGCUGGUCUUCUGACUGUUGCAACACCAAGUCAUGCUCAAGACAUAAGCCAUGGGAGCCCAGAGACUGUGAGGAAUUAGAAGAAUGUUACACAGCUGCGGAAGGACAGAGGAAAAGGAGUACAUUUGGUGCCUCUGAGGCUUGGCAAUGCCACUACGAAUGGCUCCUUCCUCCCACGUGGUUCGUAUAGGUGGGUGUGAGGCAACCUCAAACCCUAGGUGUGGGAAGGAUAGGACCGGACCACAUGUCAUAACUCCACUCACCAGAUUGGCAAGGAUGUAGUGGUACCCAAUGCCAUUCUUCUCCAGCUUCACGAUCUGAAAGACAGAAUGAAAGGGCACUCAUCAGUCACACCCACAUCUACCCUGAUGGAGCAGUGAUGACGGCAGCUGACAUCAACUGGCUAUUUAUGACAUGCCCUUCUCUGUCCUAAGUACACAAAACUGUACCGGCCUUACCAUGUAACCAUGGCGAUGCUGCUAGCAUCUUUGACAGAUGAGAAAGAGCCACAGAGGUGUAACUCAAGUUCCAUUAUGCUGUGCAGUUACGAAGAGAUGACUAUGGGGAUCUGCAGUCACCAGCCUGGUUUGAGGAGUGGGAGUUGGCGGAGGUUUGUUAUUACACCCCCCUAGGAGUAAGCCGAAGAACUUGCUGCAACCUGUCCACAAAGCUUUCCUUACACAUGGUGGAGGAAUCUGAUGUUGCAGGGAAUUGACUGUUAUUCAUGGCGAUUGAGUGAGCAGUCACUUGGGCAUGAGCUCCAUGCAGACACCACUCUGAUUUCUGUCUCUUGAGUUCUGCGUUCUCCUCCCUGAUUGGUUUAGCACCCAGACAUUGAUAGAUCAUUCAACACGUGUUGAGAGGGAAGACUGAAUUAACCCAUCUAAGGCCUCAUUGGACAGACGGGGUGUGGCCUGAAGUAAGGAAGUGAUUUUCCCAGGACGCCUGUGUGGUCUGCUGGUAAUGGAAGGACAGAGGUUUCUGAUGCUUGACAGUUUCUGCAUGGCACCUGGUCACUGUUAAGGGAAGCAGCCAGGAUUCCCAAACACUUCCUGUCUUAUAUUUUGGUUUCAAUGCUUGCGUGUGCAUUUGUGUGUGUGCAUGUGUAUGCAUGCAAGUCUGCAUGAGAGCACACAU